rnacentral:tRNA from 1 species
GGCCGCGUGGCCUAAUGGCUAAGGCGCUAGAUUUCGGAUCUAGGCACUAACAUCUCCAAAAGGUUCGACUCCUGGCGUGGUCG